rnacentral:rRNA from 1 species
GAUGAACGCUGGCGGCGUGCUUAACACAUGCAAGUCGAACGAAGCACUUUAAUUGAUUUCUUCGGAAUGAAGUUUUUGUGACUGAGUGGCGGACGGGUGAGUAACGCGUGGGUAACCUGCCUCAUACAGGGGGAUAACAGUUGGAAACGACUGCUAAUACCGCAUAAGCGCACGGUAUCGCAUGAUACAGUGUGAAAAACUCCGGUGGUAUAAGAUGGACCCGCGUCUGAUUAGCUGGUUGGUGAGGUAACGGCCCACCAAGGCGACGAUCAGUAGCCGACCUGAGAGGGUGACCGGCCACAUUGGGACUGAGACACGGCCCAAACUCCUACGGGAGGCAGCAGUGGGGAAUAUUGCACAAUGGGGGAAACCCUGAUGCAGCGACGCCGCGUGAGUGAAGAAGUAUUUCGGUAUGUAAACUUCUAUCAGCAGGGAAGAAAAUGACGGUACCUGACUAAGAAGCCCCGGCUAACUACGUG